rnacentral:rRNA from 1 species
UACGGGGGGGGGCAAGCGUUGUUCGGAAUUACUGGGCGUAAAGUGUGCGCAGGCGGCGUUGCAAGUCGAGUGUGAAAUCCCCGAGCUUAACUUGGGAAUUGCGCUCGAAACUACGAUGCUCGAGUGUGGCAGAGGAAGGUGGAAUUCCACGUGUAGCGGUGAAAAUGCGUAGAGAUGUGGAGGAACACCGAUGGCGAAGGCAGCCUUCUGGGCCAACACUGACGCUCAUGCACGAAAGCGUGGGGAGCAAACAGG